CCCAACCCAAUUCCAAAUAAUCCUUUCCAGAAUCGAUCCCAGGCCCAUUUAACUCUUUACAUCCGACCCAACCCAAUUUAUUCGAAAGGAUCCCACGGUAGACGCUUAUUGCAGAAAGAAAUAAACCGACCUUCCUCGUUCUUCUUCUUCCUCGUAGUGAGUCUGCCUCACGCGCUGCGGAAGUGCGGAAAAUGCAGCUUUAGCAAAAAGCAGUGAUAAAACGCGACCAAUCGUGUGCCUGACCGUUUCUAGUCGUCUUCCUCGCUACAUCAUCAAUUCUUACGUUUUCAGCAGAGAGGAUUCUUCCUUCGCAGGCCAGGUGGAGCAAUCUUCGCCAUCGUUCGUCCUUGAGGCGAAAUCGGACGACUCUCGUUUUGUUUUUUUGUUGAGAAAUUUUACAAUUUUCCUACUAUUGACAGCUUCAACCUUAUCUCUUCGUGGAUUUGAAUUUCAAAAUGGGGAAGAGAUCCCGAUUUCGCCCCAAUCUUUUGGGGAAUUUCUCCCGCUUUCUUCAUCCCAAAACCCUGGAAGACCCCUAUCGGUCCUAGGCUUUUUAUUAGUUAGUCCUGGUAAAGCCCCAGGCGUCGUAUUUUUUUGAAACGAGGCUCUCGGUAACGCGACAUAAAGACAUAGAAUGCAAUGUAAGGGUUACGACGGAUGGACCUUACUAAGGCAAUUUCUAAGAUAAGAUGGACGACUCGGCUGCCUUCCCGGUAAAAAUCUUUCCCCACGGUUGCAACAAGAAAGCAAAAGCCCGUCGUACCUAGCGCCAUCUGAAUAGUUUUCAAAGCAAGCAAGUAUACAAGAAACAUUUCGAAUUCUUAGCCAAGACGCUUCAGCUUUAGUUCCAAGAGAACAGGGAAUCAAAUUUCAGUCUGAGUCAAACAUCGGGUAUUAUUUCUCUAUUUAUUAUUCGUAGCCAGAGUUAGGGUGGUGGAAGUUGUGUUCUCGAGUUCGUUUCUAGCAAGUUUCGCUGCACCAUAAAAAGGUAAACCACUGGUAAUAUUUUUCUUUUUGCUUGUUUCGACUUCUCUGUGUUCUUUUUGUUUGCUAUUGCUAUAAGAAUCGUUAGUAGUUUAUUGUUAAACAUAUCUAAAUCUAAGGCCGUUUUUUCACUGUUAGAUUUUGUUCAGUUAGUAUUUUGAGUUUCGCUGUUUCAAUCUAUUCUAUUUUGUUAAUUGAAAAUAUGACCCUAAUAUGUGUGUGGGCUGUGUGUAUAUUGAUCAUUUAUUUAGCCUAAAAAUGCUAUUGCGUCAAGUAUUCAUGGCUGCAUUUAAUUAGCAUUCACAUCGUUUUACUCGUCUUAAGUGUAUUGCUUCUUCAUCAUCCUUUGUUCUCCUUUUUUUUGGCUUUUGUUUUGAUAUUUAAAAUGUUUCCAAUCCCUUAAAAGCUGUCCUAGCGUCUGAUGUGUUGCCUUCAUGAGAGUUAUUGCCUAGAGUUUUUUUCUCAUUGGGUUAAUAUGAAGAUUGCAUGCUAUUUCUAAUAUCUUAGUUAUUUCUAAUAAUAUUGAUUCAUGGGAUGAAGGCAUUUUGUCGAUAGGUUGCAAUUCUGUUGAUUUCUUUCCCGUAAUUUCGAAACUCACUAUAUCGUUUUGUCAUAUCACAUAAUUUAGCAUGUUUUUAUCUUUUUUUUGUUUUCCUUUUGUUUUCAUUCUUAAGAUAGUCAAAUUCUAAUUUAUUUCCUUGAGGCAUGUGAACUAUGACCUGUAUUCUGUUCUCUUGUUCUUGAAAUCCCUCUCUUCUCGUUUUUCUUUUGACUAUUUUCAAAUGGGGUUGUAUGAGUCUGCAUAUUGAUUCUUAGUAAUAGUAGAUUAUCAAAAACAACUUAUUGUUUCGUAGUGCCUUUUCGCAUUCUUAAAGGCCAUGAGUAAGUUUGCCAUAGUUCUUUAGUUGUUAUAUAGUUUUCAGUUCAUGUUAUGUGUUUUCUGCUAGUUUGAGAUAUGCUUAAUUGACACAUAUAGCAAAGUUUCAUUUUCUGCUUGGAAUAUGCUACCGCAAAAUUGCUGACCAGAUUUGGCAUACGAAAUUGGAUUGAAUUUUUUUUAAACUCUUGAAUGUUGCUUGCCUACAUAUAGUUAUCCUAUUUUACUUAUUAGCUGUGGUAUGUGUACUGAUCCAAGGAUCAAACUCAUCAGUUUAUUCAUGCCAUAAAAUAUUUGCUUGGCUAUAUGAAGCUUGUGUCCAGUUAUCUUGUUAUAGGAAAAGCAUGUUGUGAGAAUUUUUUAGGAAAUGAAAAGGAAAAAUCGAUCCAUGCACUUUGUUCAUCUUUAAUUUAUUUUUCAUAUACUCAUUCUGAUUAAAUUUUCCGCUUAUUACAUUUUCUAUUACCUGUUGGGUUCUAGCAAUAAUUGAAUUUAAUUUGCAUAUGGGAGUUAAUCAUUAAGUUUCUUUCCAAAUUUAGAUAAUGUAAAUUUUUGAAUAUUGUCUUUCCUUGGUGUGUCAUUAUUUUAUUCCAUGGCUAUGUUUUAUGGAAUAUCACAUCUUUGGACAGAGCAUGGUCAUUUUUAGUUAUCACUGAAGCGAUUUUCCCCUAGAACAUAUUGAUUAGUUUGUUCAAUUCUUAACCAUCUGGAAUCACUGUAAUCUUUUAUCUUUAGAAAGUGAUUUUUUGGUGCUUGCAUGUGAAAAAAUAAUAAAUAAAUUCACCGUCAAGUUUGCUUGUCUAAAAUAGCUUGUUCUGAAUUUGUCCGCUUUUAAUAAAAACUGAUAGCUUUCCUUAAUUAGUUGUUUCUUUGUUCGAUAAAUACUAAUCCUUUUAUCAUUUUUGCAUUUAAAAUCCGUUCGAGUUCCAUCAUGAACUCACGCUCCCCUUGCAUUAUUGGAGAGUCGUAAAGACUCAUAAUUCCUCUUUUCGAGUCAAUCCAUAAAGAUGAUUAACGGACUUUGGAGUCGAAAAUUGAAGCAAGUCGGAAGAGUUGAAGAGAUUGGGACAAUUAACCCAAGUUUAUUUUAUUAUCGUAUUGUAUUUAUAUUGGAUAUCAGCCUUUGUCGCUUUUUAUUUUUUGUAUUUAUUAUUUGUUAAGACUAAGACAGGUAUGUAAGAAAAUGGGUCGAAAACCCAAAAAGUCAAAUGGGUCAAAACCCAAAAACAGGUGGGUCCAAAUGCCGGUCAAGGCAAACUUCAAACCCGGAUUUUGACCCAAA